UACGUAGGGUGCGAGCGUUAAUCGGAAUUACUGGGCGUAAAGUGUGCGCAGGCGGCAGAGCAAGUCGAGUGUGAAAGCCCCCGGGCUUAACUUAGGAAUUGCGCUCGAAACUACUUUGCUGGAGUGUGGCAGAGGAAGGUGGAAUUCCACGUGUAGCGGUGAAAUGCGUAGAGAUGUGGAGGAACACCAAUGGCGAAAGGCAGCCUUCUGGGCCAACACUGAACGCUCAUGCACGAAAGCGUGGGGAGCAAACAGG
rnacentral:rRNA from 1 species